rnacentral:lncRNA from 1 species
AACUUUGGCAUAGCAGAAUCACAACCGGCAAUAGAUGAGGCAUAUGAAGAAAUGAUAGCAGACCUUGCUGAGGAAGCGACUUCAUCCGGAAGUGAUGAUGAACAAGCUUCAUUUCCACCACCGCCAACACAACCACCUCCCAACCUUGACGGACUUAUGAGAUUUGUUAGAAAUACAACAUAAAUUAUGAUGUAACUUGUACAUUGGCA